AACGAACGCUGGCGGCAUGCCUAACACAUGCAAGUCGAACGAGACCUUCGGGUCUAGUGGCGCAUGGGUGCGUCACGCGUCGGAAGCUGCCCUUAGGCUCGGAAUAACUCUCUGACGGGGGUGCUAAUACCGGAUAAUUUCCUCGGAUCAAAGAUUUAACGUAUUUGGGUGGGCCCGAGUUGUUUUAGCUUGUUGGUAGGGUAAGAGCCUACCAAGGCGUAGAUCCAUAGCUGGUCUGAGAGAAUGAGCAGCCACACUGGGACUGUGACACGGCCGAGACUCCUGCGGGAGGCAGCAGUGGGUGAUAUAGGACAAUGGGGGAAGGCCUGAUCCGGCAAUGCCGCGUGAGUGAUUAAGGCGUGAGGGAAGUGAAGCACUUUUACACGGGAUGAUAAUGACAGUACCGGGAGAAUAAGCACCGGCUAACUCCGUG
rnacentral:rRNA from 1 species